rnacentral:rRNA from 1 species
CGGGAACGUGAGGAACCUGCCUCGGAGUCGGGGAAGUAACAGCCCGAAAACGGGUUGCUAAUACCGCAUAAUGCAGUUGGGUCGCAUGACCCUGACUGCCAAAGAUUUAUCGCUCUGAGAUGGCCUCGCGUCUGAUUAGCUAGUAGCGGGGUAACGGCCCACCUAGGCGACGAUCAGUAGCCGGACUGAGAGGUUGACCGGCCACAUUGGGACUGAGACACGGCCCAGACUCCUACGGGAGGCAGCAGUGGGGAAUAUUGGGCAAUGGGCGCAAGCCUGACCCAGCAACGCCGCGUGAAGGAUGAAGGCUUUCGGGUUGUAAACUUCUUUUAUUCGGGACGAAGCAAAUGACGGUACCGAAUGAAUAAGCCACGGCUAACUACGUGCCAGCAGCCGCGGUAAUACGUAGGUCCCGAGCGUUGUCCGGAUUUAUUGGGCGUAAAGCGAGCGCAGGCGGUUUGAUAAGUCUGAAGUUAAAGGCUGUGGCUCAACCAUAGUUCGCUUUGGAAACUGUCAAACUUGAGUGCAGAAGGGGAGAGUCGACGCGGCCG